rnacentral:rRNA from 1 species
UAUUGUCCACACGGCCCAGACUCCUACGGGAGGCAGCAGUGGGGAAUAUUGCGCAAUGGGCGAAAGCCUGACGCAGCGACGCCGCGUGGGGGAUGAAGGCCUUCGGGUUGUAAACCUCUUUCACCACCGACGAAGCUAACGUGACGGUAGGUGGGGAAGAAGCGCCGGCUAACUACGUGCCAGCAGCCGCGGUAAUACGUAGGGCGCAAGCGUUGUCCGGAAUUAUUGGGCGUAAAGAGCUCGUAGGCGGUCUGUCACGUCUGCCGUGAAAACCCGAGGCUUAACCUCGUGGCUUGCGGUGGAUACGGGCAGACUGGAGGUAGGUAGGGGAGAACGGAAUUCCCGGUGUAGCGGUGAAAUGCGCAGAUAUCGGGAGGAACACCGGUGGCGAAGGCGGUUCUCUGGGCCUUACCUGACGCUGAGGAGCGAAAGCAUGGGGAGCGAACAGGAUUAGAUACCCUGGUAGUCCAUGCCGUAAACGUUGGGCGCUAGGUGUGGGGUCCUUCCACGGAUUCCGUGCCGUAGCUAACGCAUUAAGCGCCCCGCCUGGGGAGUACGGCCGCAAGGCUAAAACUCAAAGGAAUUGACGGGGGCCCGCACAAGCGGCGGAGCAUGUUGCUUAAUUCGACGCAACGCGAAGAACCUUACCAAGGUUUGACAUCACCGGAAAACUCGCAGAGAUGCGGGGUCCUUUUGGGCCGGUGACAGGUGGUGCAUGGCUGUCGUCAGCUCGUGUCGUGAGAUGUUGGGUUAAGUCCCGCAACGAGCGCAGCCCUCGUUCCAUGUUGCCAGCACGUAAUGGUGGGGACUCAUGGGAGACUGCCGGGGUCAACUCGGAGGAAGGUGGGGAUGACGUCAAGUCAUCAUGCCCCUUAUGUCUUGGGCUGCAAACAUGCUACAAUGGCCGGUACAAAGGGCUGCGAAACCGCGAGGUGGAGCGAAUCCCGGAAAGCCGGUCUCAGUUCGGAUUGGGGUCUGCAACUCGACCCCAUGAAGUCGGAGUCGCUAGUAAUCGCAGAUCAGCAACGCUGCGGUGAAUACGUUCCCGGGCCUUGUACACACCGCCCGUCACGUCACGAAAGUCGGCAACACCCGAAGCCGGUGGCCCAACCCUUGUGGGGGGAGCCGUCGAAGGUGGGGCCGGCGAUUGGGACGAAGUCGGAACAAGGUAGCCGUACCGGAAGGUGCGGCUG